rnacentral:rRNA from 1 species
UACAGAGGGUGCAAGCGUUAAUCGGAUUUACUGGGCGUAAAGGGCGCGUAGGUGGAUGUGUAAGUGAGAUGUGAAAUCCCCGGGCUUAACCUGGGAACUGCAUCUUAUACUGCGCAUCUGGAGUGCGAUAGAGGGUAGUGGAAUUUCCGGUGUAGCGGUGAAAUGCGUAGAUAUCGGAAGGAACACCAGUGGCGAAGGCGGCUACCUGGAUCGACACUGACACUGAGGCGCGAGAGCGUGGGGAGCAAACAGG